CUUCACCAACCAUCGGUUACGAUCCCUGUGGAAUUUGAUUGAAGAUCUGGUGUAGUUAUCAAAGCCAAGAAAGGUUCAAUAGAUGUCUCUCAGUGUUUAAACUGUGAUAGAUGAUUGUGGAGGAUUCUAAUUAACAAUGAAUUAUGGACUGUAUACACAACCAUCUAUAUUGUGCAUGUCUGGAUAUGGUUUCAUCCAAAGCUGCUGGAGAGCUUCGAUACCCAUCUUACCCAAAGAAAAACGAAGGAUGGAAAUUUCCAUGAAUUGGAGCCUUCAAGUGUUGUAACCACCUUUUUGAUCAUAUUCGUUGGAUUAAUCUAUCCAAAGGUUGAAAUUUGUUUUAAGGUUUUCCACAGUUUUUUUUGUGGUUUCAUUUGAACCUCCCUGUAU